rnacentral:rRNA from 1 species
AAGCGGUGGAUGAUGUGGAUUAAUCGAUGCAACGCGAAAACCUUACCUACCCUUGACAUGUCCGGAAUCCCGAAGAGAUUUGGGAGUGCUCGCAAGAGAGCCGGAACACAGGUGCUGCAUGGCUGUCGUCAGCUCGUGUCGUGAGAUGUUGGGUUAAGUCCCGCAACGAGCGCAACCCUUGUCAUUAGUUGCCAUCAUUUGGUUGGGCACUCUAAUGAGACUGCCGGUGACAAACCGGAGGAAAGGUGGGGGAUGACGUCAAGUCCUCAUGGCCCUUAUGGGUAGGGCUUCACACGUCAUACAAUGGUCGGUACAGAGGGUUGCCAACCCGCGAGGGGGAGCUAAUCCCACAAAGCCGAUCGUAGUCCGGAUCGCAGUCUGCAACUCGACUGCGUGAAGUCGGAAUCGCUAGUAAUCGUGGAUCAGCAUGUCACGGUGAAUACGUUCCCGGGUCUU